rnacentral:misc_RNA from 1 species
GAUGAAGAACGUAGCGAAAUGCGAUACGUAGUGUGAAUUGCAGAAUUCAGUGAAUCAUCGAAUCUUUGAACGCACAUUGCACCUCUCGGUAUUCCGGGAGGUAUGCCUGUUCGAGCGUCAUUUGUACCCUCAAGCUCUGCUUGGUGUUGGGUGUUUGUUCCGCCUCUGUGUGUGAACUCGCCUCAAAACAAUUGGCAGCCGGCGUACUUGUUUCGGAGCGCAGCACAUUUUGCGAUCCAGAUCAACGUACAGCGGCAUCCAAGAAGCCUUAUUUAACGCUCUUGACCUCGGAUCAGGUAGGGAUACCCGCUGAACUUAAGCAUAUCAAUAAGCGGAGGAU